GACGAACGCUGGCGGCGUGCCUAAUACAUGCAAGUCGAACGCUUCUUUCCUCCCGAGUGCUUGCACUCGAUUGGAAAGAGGAGUGGCGGACGGGUGAGUAACACGUGGGUAACCUACCCAUCAGAGGGGGAUGACACUUGGAAACAGGUGCUAAUACCGCAUAACAGUUUAUGCCGCAUGGCAUAAGAGUGAAAGGCGCUUUCGGGUGUCGCUGAUGGAUGGACCCGCGGUGCAUUAGCUAGUUGGUGAGGUAACGGCUCACCAAGGCCACGAUGCAUAGCCGACCUGAGAGGGUGAUCGGCCACACUGGGACUGAGACACGGCCCAGACUCCUACGGGAGGCAGCAGUAGGGAAUCUUCGGCAAUGGACGAAAGUCUGACCGAGCAACGCCGCGUGAGUGAAGAAGGUUUUCGGAUCGUAAAACUCUGUUGUUAGAGAAGAACAAGGACGUUAGUAACUGAACGUCCCCUGACGGUAUCUAACCAGAAAGCCACGGCUAACUACGUG
rnacentral:rRNA from 1 species